AAAUAAAGAGAAAAGCAAUAAAAGGGGACAAAACGCCCCAAAGUAGAGUUCAAUAAUAUCAAUGCAUAGAGGAUGUGAAUUGAAAAGAGAAUGCAUGAGUGUAUGAAAAAGUGAGGAUUAUGAGUAGUUAGGUUUAGCUUUGAAAUUGAUGU